rnacentral:lncRNA from 1 species
CUCACACAAGCCCUGCCCCACAGAGGCAGACACCUUUACCUGCCUGUAGAGGAUCAAGGCAUUCAGUCAAUGCAGGCUGAAAAGUAGCCUGAGGGCUUGCUGUUAGGUGGGGCCAAUCCCUAGGGCAGGUUGCCUGCCCUGGCUGAGCUGGAUUAAAUCUGUGCUGUAGUGGGUGUGGCAGACCCCUGGGCUAACAGCCCAAGGGAUGCACCUCAAUGGCCCCCACCUGUGUCCGUAUUAGCAUGCCUGGACCAGCUCAGAACAACAGCCCCCACCAAUGUCUCAGUCUCUGGAGAGGAUCCUCCUCUCACCAAGAUGCCCCCAGAGCCCACCAGGCUCCAGUUAUCUUCAAUUAUGAAUUUAAAAAAUGUUAUUUCUGUCUUCACUAGACCCAUCAACAAGAGCGAUACUAAAGCCUAGAAAGACUAAGAAAUUUUUCCGGAGUCACUUGGAUAGUGAUUGCCAGAGCCAGGAUUUGGCCCCAGAGUUUGGUCCCAGAGACUGAGCACUUAAUAAACAUGAUCUUCUCAGUGGAAAAGAAAUGAGAGCCCAGAAAUAA